UGGUCUUUCGUGGAUCUGUCUGUCGUCAACAGUGAGUAUCUAUCAGCUGGUUGAACCUUCACAACAGUCGUGACCACAGAAAAAAUUCUAAUUUGUCCCAUUGUGUUGUUUUUUCUUUCAGUCGUGACUGAACAUGAAUCCGAUGACGAGGAGACACUGAAAUGCUUCGUGAAGUCUAUACAGGAAAACUGUGAACUGGAAGUGAAGUGGACGAUCAAAGAUCAAGAUAUUGAUGAAGUCAACAGUCAGAUAAAGACAGAAAAUAAUGGAUGUUCUGCCACUGUGACUCUUAAAAAGUCACAUUAUCUUCACCCACAAACACACUUCCUGAGCUGUGAAGUGACUGACAACAGAACAGGAGAAACGUUUCGUUUCAGUCCUCGACCCUCAGGUGACACGAAAUCAACAAUGAAACCAGAAAGCUUCACAAAAUCAGCUGGAACUGAAACCAGUGGAGCUUCAGCAGGUCCACAAGGCUCGUGGUGGAUGCACUCGAUUGUCGCUGUGGGUCUGAUUGUACUCCUGAUCACAGCUGUGGUGAUCAUCAUCAGGUGGGAAAGGA
rnacentral:lncRNA from 1 species